rnacentral:sRNA from 1 species
CGCUCUCGCCCUUCCUGGGCGUUUCCUCCCUGAUUUGAACUGCCGCGCGCGAUGGCGCGGCUUUUUUUUGGCCCGU